ensembl:snRNA U5 U5 spliceosomal RNA
AUACUCUGGUUUAUCUUCAGAUCGUAUAAAUCUUUCGCCUUUUAGUAAAGAUUUCCGUGGAAAAUACCUUCUCCCAUUCCAUUGGUGGCCUUUUAGUUUUGUUUUUUCCUACACUA